UACAGAGGGUGCGAGCGUUAAUCGGAAUUACUGGGCGUAAAGGGUGCGUAGGUGGUUAGAUAAGUUGGGCGUGAAAUCCCCGGGCUCAACCUGGGAACUGCGUUCAAAACUAUUUGGCUAGAGUAUGGUAGAGGUAAGUGGAAUUUCCAGUGUAGCGGUGAAAUGCGUAGAUAUUGGAAGGAACAUCAGUGGCGAAGGCGACUUACUGGACUGAUACUGACACUGAGGCACGAAAGCGUGGGGAGCAAACAGG
rnacentral:rRNA from 1 species